rnacentral:lncRNA from 1 species
AGCCCACGGGAAGUGACGCACGCUGCCACGAGGUCAGCGUCCUCCGCCGAGCGCGGCCCUCGCUACAAAGGACUCGCCCCUCUGGCCGCCGACUCUCUCGAAUCUGUCUCAUCUCUCUUGACUCGGCUGCCCUGGUCCUUAAUCGCUGCGCCCCAGCUCCCUCGCGCUGGAGCCUAGACCUGGCCCGGGCUCGCGUAGUGCGGCCUGCGCGUCGCCCGGACUCGACCUCCCCCCCGGGGUGACGCACUUCCGGCGCGACGGAGCCGCGGAGACGGCAGGCCCUCCCGACCCGCAGCGGUGCCGGCGCAGGAAGAAUGGCGAGCUCCUUCCCCCGGCGCCGCGGCGGGGCGGAAGAAAGCCGACCUGCUGGCUUCCCGACCUUUUGAGCCAAGAGACCUCUUCCACAAGCUUCCUCAGGGCCAGGUUCUCGAGCGACACUCUGAAGGUGGCGUUUUUAAUCAGCAGGUGGGCGCCGAGGAAGCAGGCCUGUGGCGGCCAACGGUAGGAAACCUCCGGCCGCGACCGGCGGGUCCUGGCGGCCGCUGCGCGCCCCUCGAGCCCGGCCUGCCUGGCCUCGUUUCGCACAGAGCUCUCCAGCCCCAAGUUACCGUCCCCGAGCCUCGCUUGAGCCGAGCUUGGCCGUCUGCUCACGCCAGUGCCUGUGCAUUGCUGAGAACCCAGCUCCAGCCUGGGGACCUGGACCAAGGCCUGCUGUAGCACAUGUUUUGGCCACCACAGGCCCAAAGCAACAGGCCCAAAUGGCUGUGGAUGGAAACCUCCAAGAUGAGAUUGGAUCCAACACAUGGAGAACACCUUACCAGACCAUGUCCGCACCACAGCACCAGGUGAAACUGGCAGGGUCUUCGGGAGGUGGGGCCUGGCAGUAGGUCUUCAGGUCAUUUGGGAGCAGGCC